rnacentral:rRNA from 1 species
UACGAAGGGGGCUAGCGUUGCUCGGAAUCACUGGGCGUAAAGGGUGCGUAGGCGGGUCUUUAAGUCAGGGGUGAAAUCCUGGAGCUCAACUCCAGAACUGCCUUUGAUACUGAAGAUCUUGAGUUCGGGAGAGGUGAGUGGAACUGCGAGUGUAGAGGUGAAAUUCGUAGAUAUUCGCAAGAACACCAGUGGCGAAGGCGCUCACUGGCCCGGUACUGACGCUGAGGUGCGAAAGCCAGGGGAGCAAAGCGGG